GAGACAUUAGUAAGACCAAUUACACAGCCUUGUCAAGACUACAUCACAGGUGAAAACCCCGUAUGUCUCC
rnacentral:tRNA from 1 species